GAGAACAGGGCUGCCGUCAAUGACAAAUGCUGGACUAGACACCAAUGCUACGUAGUUCUUCAUUAAAACAUUCAUAUUUGGUUGGUUGGAUGGCCACCACGUCAUCUUUGGCAAUGUGCUUUCAGGGAUUCAUGUUGUCCGCGAGAUUGAAGCUGAAGGAAGACAGAAUAGGGAGCCCCUAUGGCAAUUGGCAGGGAUGCACCCGGAUUUGCAGUUUCUUUAGGUGAAUUAUGAGGAGCACAAAUCCAUGUGUUAUAGUCUUAAUGUUCAUGUGCUGCCAUUUUUCCAGUUUAACAGAGGAGCGACUAUGCAACUUUAACUAUUUAAGAUAUGUUUUUGUCUUUCAACUAUCAUGUGAAGACCAUUAGUGAAUUGGGAAUGAUUAUUGAAUGAAUAAUUUUAUUGUUGUUAGUGAUUGCCAGUUUGUUUUCAUUUUUCAGAUUUAUUCUCAUUUUGCAAUACACUAUGAACACAGGGAUCAAACUACUUGAGAGAUUAAUUUUUCAGAAAAUGUAUUAAAUUUUGAGAAGUUGAGUGUUGGUGUUUUUUGAUAUAAAAG